UUCAAUUCAGAUUUUUGGUACCCUGGUUCCAGAAGUUUAUUUUUAUUAUUUUCAUUGUUUCCUCUCCCCUUCGCAAUGAAAAUAAUAAAAAUAAACUUCUGGAACCAGGGUACCAAAAAUCUGAAUUGAA